GCUCCCGUCGUUCAGCGGAUAGGACAGUAGCUUGCGGAGCUACAAACCCAGGUUCGACUCCUGGCGGGAGCACAA
rnacentral:tRNA from 1 species